UACGUAGGGGCCUAGCGUUGUCCGGAAUUAUUGGGCGUAAAGAGCUCGUAGGUGGUUCGGUAAGUCGGGUGUUAAACCCCCAGGCUCAACCUGGGGACGCCACUCGAUACUGCUGUGACUAGAGUCCGGUAGGGGAGCGUGGAAUUCCUGGUGUAGCGGUGAAAUGCGCAGAUAUCAGGAGGAACACCAGCGGCGAAGGCGGCGCUCUGGGCCGGUACUGACACUGAGGAGCGAAAGCGUGGGUAGCAAACAGG
rnacentral:rRNA from 1 species